AUAAUGAGGAAGGAAAAAGAGGAGGAGAUCGUGCAGGUGGGGCCCAGGCACAGAAAUAAGAGAAAGAUGAGAGAAGGAAUAUAAAUAGGUUUUUUAGGUCUAGGGGAGGUAGGUUUUAUUUUUAUCCUGAAGUUGGCGGCUGCUUAGCCUAGAGGAAUAUCCAGUCUUUCCCUAGAGGAAGCUGGGUUUGUCUUCAUUAUUCCUUGUUUUUCUUGAAUCUUUAUGUUUUUCUGUACUCAUUUUGGCUAUAUAUAAAUAAAGAUAGCAGAGGGCUACCUCUGUUUUUGGCCAUUGUAAGGGAGAAAUAGUGAAGUAAGCAAGUUGAAUCCUUACAUAUUGGUAUCAGAGCCUCCACACUGGGGGUGAUCACGCGUCUGAUGGCUCAAAGACAGAUAGAAGAACGGGUAGAAGGUACUGAAAAGGAAAUUAUGAGUCUGAAGGAGAUGAUGCUGGAAAUGAAGAAAUCGAUGGAUCGAAUGACAGACGAGCUAAGAGAAAACCAUGGUGCUAAGAAAAAAGAAGAAGCAGGGACUACGGACGACAUCAGGUUGAAACUGAAGGGAAAACUGGAAGAGGCCGGAACCACAGUCGAGUCGGGUGGAAGCAGCGCAGACCGAAGUAAGUACAAAAAAUUAGAAAUGCCACUGUUUACAGGGGUGAACCCUGAAUCCUGGGCGUACCGAGCAGAACAUUUUUUUGAUAUAAAUGACUUACCGGAAGCUGAGAAGGUCAAAGUAGCAGUCGUGAGUUUUGGACAGGAAGAGGUAGACUGGUUUAGAUGGAGUAAUCGUAGAAAGAGGGUGGAAUCUUGGGAGGACUUGAAGGAAAGGAUGUUUGAUUUCUUUAAUGAUACAGGACAGCAGAGCUUGGGGGCAAGAUUAAUCCGUAUUAAGCAAGAAGGCUCAUACAGCGAGUACGUUAAGAAGUUUGUUACAUACUCAGCCCCCCUCCCGGACAUGGCAGAAAGUGUUCUGCUGGAUGCGUUUUUAACGGGUCUGGAACCCUCACUGCAAGCGGAAGUAAUCAGCAGACACCCUCAAACUUUAGAGGAAUGUAUGAAGGAAGCUCAGCUGGUGAAUGAUAGGAAUAUAGCAUUAAAACUGGCGAUGGAAGAGUUGGAUAUAGUUGAGCCCAAAAGGAAUGAGAACAGCAGCAAAUUUCAAGGAAAAAAUGAGAAGACAGAAAGUAAAAAGACAGAGUUUGUGAUGAAGCAGGUAACUAUUCCAUUGAAAAAUGAUUACCAGAAAAAGAUCCCCCAAUUAAACGGCUGUCGGAUACGGAAUUUAGAGCAAGGCUGGAUAAGGGGCUUUGUUUCAGAUGUAAUGAAAAGUACGCCCCAGGCCAUCGAUGUAAAGGGAGAGAAAAAAGAGAGUUGAUGCUCCUUAUACUAAAUGAGGAAGAAGACCACAAAAGGGAAGAGGAUACAGAGGAUGAGGCAAGCGAAGUAAUAGAACUGAAUCAUCUGGAAUUGAAUAUGGAUAACCCUAUUGAAUUGAGGUUGAUCACGGGAGUUACAUCAAAAGGGACGAUGAAAUUAAAAGGACAUGUGAACGGAAGGGAAGUAGUUAUUCUGAUUGACAGCGGGGGCGACCAAUAACUUCAUCAGCCAAGUGUUGGUAGAUGAACUACAGCUGAGCAUCGAUCCGGGAACUCGUUUUGGAGUUACCAUUGGGAAUGGCAACCAAUGUGAAGGAAGUGGGAUUUGCAAGAGGGUGAAGGUGAAGUUAAAAGAGUUAACAAUCGUAGCAGAUUUCCUAGCGGUAGAGUUAGGAACGGUAGACUUGGUGCUUGGGAUGCAAUGGCUAGAUUCGACAGGAACCAUGAAGGUUCACUGGCCAUCCCUAACCAUGACGUUUUGGAUGAAGGGUAGAAGAAUAAUCCUAAAAGGUGACCCUUCUCUAACGAAGUCAGAAUGUUCAUUGAGAACCUUCGAGAAAACGUGGCAAUCCGGGGACCAAGGAUUCCUCUUGGAAUUCGAAAACUAUGAAGUAAACUAUGAAGGAGAAUCGGAAACAGAAGCUGAAUUGAAGGGAAAGGAAGAAGGAUUACCCAUGGUUCAGCGAUUGCUCGAGCAAUAUGCAGAUGUCUUUAGGUUGCCCACGGGUUUACCGCCAAGGAGAGCCAUAGACCAUCGCAUUCUGACCGUGGCCGAUCAGAAACCAAUUAAUGUAAGACCAUAUAAGUAUGGCCAUGUACAAAAGGAAGAGAUUGAAAAAUUGGUGUUAGAAAUGUGAUAGAACACUGAUAUAGUGUUUCUAUUUAUUGAUAUUUGCAACGGAAUUACAAUCUCAAAGCAGUAAAAGAAAAUAUAAAGAACCCUAACCCCUUGCCCUUCCUCUCUUUCAAGGAAUAUUGCAGCCUUAAUUCUUCACCCUUCUCCCUCCCAACAAACUCCUAUUUAUAUUCCAUACCCAACUCCUAUUUAUACUCUAACUAACUUUCUCUCCCAUAACAAACUCCUACUUAUGCUCUAUUAUUUUAUUAUGGAGCAUCUACUAACAAUAUUAAAACUAAGGCUAUUCUCCUAGCACGUGCGGUUAACCUUCUUCUUUUUCCUUCUACUGUAUUGGUGUAUAAUUGGGGGUCUAUCAUUACAUUCCCUUUCCAAAUGCACCUUGUCCUCAAGGUAAAAAUCGGAAAUUUCUUCUGAAAGUCUUCAUACUCCUCAAUAACUGGAAUGGGAAACUUAUCGGGUAUAGUCACGUUGUUUAAGACUCUAUAAUCCACGCAGAAUCUCCAGCUUCCAUCCUUCUUCCGUACUAACAGAACCAGGCUGGAAUAUGGGCUAUUACUUGGGCGAAUAACUCCUGAACUCAGCAUCUCUUCCACCAAUCUCUCCAUCUCCGCCUUUUGUUGGUAUCCAUAGCGAUACGGCCUCACAUUUACCGGGUCAGUUCCUUGUUUCAAAUAGAUAUGAUGCUCAAUACUUCUUCGUGGAGGUAGAGUCUCCGGCCAUGUAAAAACAUCUUCGAAUUUCUUCAGGACAACUGAAACUGCCUCGUCCACCGUUAGUAUUUCCUCAAUUCCAUUAUCUUCUGAGGGCUCGUACAUUGUCUCCAUUGUUCGGCACUCAAUUAAGAAUCCUUGUCAGAAUCCUUCCAUGACUUAAUCAUAUCUUCUUGAGGCCAACCAUGGCUUUGGUUAAGCUGGGGUCUCCUUUGAUUUUCACUUUCUUCCCGUUGUGUAGAAAAGUCAUGGUCAAGUUUUUCCAAUCCACUUCCGUCACGCCAAUGAAUACAACCACUGCAUUCCUAGUACUCCAUCUACUCCUCCCAACUCAAGUGGUAAGAAGUUCGCUUCCACUUUCCAUCCCUCCAGUUCUAGCUCGAUGCCUUCACAAAUUCCUUUCCCCUUCACCGCUGCACCCGAGCCCAAAAUCACUCCAUAGUGUGAGGUAGUCUUCGUCGGUAAACUCAGUUCCUGCACCACCUUGUCCGAGAUGAAGUUAUGGGUUGCUCCACAAUCUAUUAGGAUAAUUACUUCUCUAUCCUUAAUCUUUCCUCUCACCUUCAUCGUUCCGGGAUUCGUCAGCCCCACCACUGAAUUUAUGGAAAGUUCAACGAUAGCUGAUCUUCUGGAUUUAUCUCGACACAGUUCAAUUCUGUCUCAUCCCAUUCCGCUUCCUCCACAAUUUCAUAUUCCUCAUCCUCUUUACCACAUACAUUCUUAGUUCCCUUUGCUCCCUUCCUCUACAUCGAUGUCCAUGAAAAUACUUUCUUAUACAGCGAAAGCAAAGUCCUUCUCUUUUCGGGCUUGAAAUUCUGCAUCCGGUAGUCUCUUCGUCGGGCCUUCUUUCUUAAAUUCACCAGCCGUUGUUCUUAAUGUCACCGUCCUCAUUGGAAAUAUGGUAUUUCCCUGGUUCUCACUGUUAUUCAUCGCUGCACUACUCUAUGAUGAUUGAAGAGUUUGGAGGGGGGUAUUUACCGUGGCAUAACCGUUUAGGUUCGCUCCCUGCGAAGGAUCUCCCGGUUCUCCACGAGUUGAGCUGCGUGCAUCAUCUCGGCCAAACCAAACCGAUUACAAAAAACUACCUCAGCUUUGAUCCACGGAAACAGUCCAUUCAUAAACGUCUCCUCUACCACACGAUCUUGCAAGUCAGGAGUGGUGCCAUCAACCUAUCGAACUCAUUGCGAUUAUUCUUCCACUGUGGUCUGCUGUUUAAUCCUUAAGAAUUGCCACAGAUGGAUCCUUCUCUCGACGAUCGAAACCGCACCAGAAAUCUCUCCUUAAGAUUGUGCCAUCCUGUAAACUUAUCGCGUUCUUCUUGUGCUCGGUACCAGUUUAACGCUGGGCCUUCAAAACUGAUGGUCGCCACCAAAACCUUCUCUGCAUCACUCAGUUUGUGAAUUUGGAAGUACCGGUCGGCGCGGAACAACCACGAAUCCGGAUCCUCGCCAUUGAAUACUGGCAUUUCGACCUUCUUAAAUUUGUCUCUCUCAUUCGCACCCUCUUCGUCCUCAGUCCUCCUCUCCUUUGUUUCAUUCUCACCUCUCCUACUUGUCGAACUUUCUCCUUCAUUACUUUUUCUGCAUCCAGUUUCUUGUGCGCUGUAGUCUGCCAACUUCUCACUGGUUGUCGUCCGUUCUUUCGCAAUGGAAUCCAUGAGUAUCAUCAGCAUUUGAUGCGUCUUUUCAGUUUGAUGACUGAUCGUUGUUAAGCUUUCUUCGAUCGCUGGAAUUUUACUCACUUCUUUCUUCAUCAGCAACAUUUCCUGUUCGUAAGCUUCCAUUCUCUCUUCCGAUCGCGUGUUAACCAUGGUUUUCUCCUUGCCCAGAUUCGACAGGCUCUGAUACCAAUUUGAUAGAACACUGAUAUAGUGUUUCUAUUUAUUGAUAUUUGCAACGGAAUUACAAUCUCAAAGCAGUAAAAGAAAAUAUAAGAACCCUAACCCCUUGCCCUUCCUCUCUUUCAAGGAAUAUUGCAGCCUUAAUUCUUCACCCUUCUCCUUCCCAACAGACUCCUAUUUAUAUUCCAUACCCAACUCCUAUUUAUACUCUAACUAACUUUUCUCUCUCAUAACAAACUCCUACUUAUGCUCUAUUAUUUUAUUAUGGAGCAUCUACUAACAAUAUUAAAAUUAAGGCUAUUCUCCUAGCACGUGCGGUUAACCUUCUUCUUUUUCCUUCUACUGUAUUGGUGUAUAAUUGGGGGUCUAUCAAAAUGUUACAAGCUGGGGUGAUUCGUCCAAGCCGCAACCCAUAUUCGAGCCCAGUCCUCUUAGUGAAGAAAAAAGAUGGAGGGUGGAGAUUUUGUGUAGAUUACAGGAAACUCAAUCAAGUAACGGUGGCUGAUAAAUUUCCAAUUCCCGUGAUCGAAGAACUCUUAGAUGAACUUCAUGGUGCGACAGUUUUCUCAAAGUUAGACCUUAAAUCUGGAUACCACCAGAUUAGGAUGAGGGAGGAAGAUGUGGAGAAAACAGCUUUCCGCACGCAUGAAGGACAUUAUGAGUUCUUGGUGAUGCCUUUCGGCCUUACGAAUGCUCCUGCCACCUUCCAAUCUCUCAUGAACGAGGUGUUCAAACCAUUCCUUCAAAGGUGUGUCCUGGUUUUUUUUUUAUGACAUUCUAGUUUAUAGUGUGGACAUAGAUGAGCACAUGAAACAUUUAGGAAUGGUUUUUGCUAUCUUGAGGGACCAUGAAUUGUUUGCAAAUAGGUCUAAAUGUGUCAUUGCUCAUUCCCAAGUUCAAUAUUUGGGUCAUCUGAUUUCCAGCAGAGGAGUGGAGGCUGAUGAGGACAAGAUUCGCAGUAUGGUAAAUUGGCCACGGCGAAAGAUAUAACUGGGCUGAGGGGAUUCCGUGGACUGACUGGUAUUAUAGAAGAUUUGUGAAAAGCUAUGGAGAAAUAGCUGCACCCUUAACCAAAUUACUUCAGAAAAAUGCAUUCCAUUGGAAUAGGAAGCUACAAUAGCGUUUGACCAGCUGAAGCUAGCAAUGACAACCUUACCGGUAUUAGCAUUGCCGGAUUGGUCUCAGCCCUUCACAAUCGAAACUGAUGCUUCAGGAGUAGGUUUAGGUGCAGUUUUCACAUAAUGGUCAUCCCAUCGCAUUCUUCAGCCAGAAACUGUCCCCAAGAGCCCAGGGUAAGUCGAUCUAUGAAAGGGAAUUGAUGGCGGUUGUCCUUUCGGUGCAAAAAUGGAGACAUUAUCUCCUGGGCAGAAAGUUCACAAUUGUUUCAGAUCAGAAGGCUCUGAAAUUUCUGUUAGAACAGAGGGAAGUUCAGCCUCAAUUCCAAAAGUGGCUCACAAAACUUUUGGGGUAUGACUUUGAGAUCUUAUACCAGCCGGGUCUGUAGAAUAAGGUGGCGGAUGCUCUCUCAAGGAAGGACCAUUCGGUGGAGUUAAAUACAAUGACAACCACAGCACAUAGUUGAUAUAGAGAUAAUAGCGAAGGAAGUUGAAAUGGAUCAAGAACUUCAGAAAAUUAUUGCCGAACUUAAGGGAUAGGUGGAUCAAGGUGGGAAAUACCAGUGGAACAAUGACAGGCUGCUAUAUAAAGGAAGGAUGGUGCUGCCGCGAAAUUCCUCCCUCAUUCUGAGUCUUCUACACACGUUCCAUGAUUCCAUAUUAGGAGGGCACUCGGGAUUCUGAGAACCUAUAAAAGAAUGAGUGGGGAACUAUUUUGGAAAGGAAUGAAGGCUGAUAUCAAGAGAUAUGUAGAAGAAUGUGACACUUGUCAACGUAAUAAGUUCGAAGCUACAAAGCCUGCGGGAGUUCUGCAACCCAUUCUAUCCCCGACAAGAUAUUGGAGGAUUGGACCAUGGAUUUUAUUGAAGGGCUGCCAAUAGCAGGAGGUUACAACGUGAUUAUGGUAGUCGUCGACCGCCUAAGUAAGUACUCCUACUUCUUGUCUCUGAAACACCCGUACACAGCCAAGCAAGUGGCUUCAAUUUUUUUGGAAAAAGUGGUCAGCAAACAUGGAAUACCCAAGUCCAUUAUUACCGACCGUGAUAAGAUCUUCCUUAGCAAUUUCUGGAAGGAGUUGUUCACUACCAUGGGCACCAUUUUGAAGAGAAGCACGACAUUCCAUCCCCAAACGAUGGACAAACCGAGAGGGUAAACAGAUGCCUAGAGACCUAUUUGAGAUGCUUUUGCAAUGAACAACCGAAGAAAUGGGAUAAACUGAUCCCUUGGGCGGAAUUAUGGUAUAACACAACCUUCCACGCAUCCACCAAAACUACUCCUUACCAAUCUGUUUUUGAAGAACUCCCCCGCCACUACUGUCAUAUGGAUGGAAGCAAUCUCCUAACAAUGACGUAGAAGUCAUGUUGAAGGAGAGAGAUUUAGCACUCAAUGCACUGAAGGAAAACCUAUGCAUAGCUCAAAAUAGAAUGAAGAAAAUGGCAGACGAAACCGCAGGGAGCUCAAAUUCAAAAUUGGGGAUGAAGUGUAUUUGAAACUACGACCCUAUCGACAAAGAUCACUAGCUCGGAAGAAAUGUGAAAAGCUAUCCCCAAAAUUUUAUGGGUCGUAUGAGGUUAUUGAAGAGAUAGGAGAGGUCGCUUAUCGAUUGCAACUACCGCCCGAGGCCGCCAUUCACAAUGUCUUUCACGUGUCUCAACUGAAACUGAAGUUGGGAAAACAACAUGUAGUCCAGCAACAACAGCCAUACUAACUGAGGAUUUUGAACUACAAUUGUGGCCGAAAAACGUGUGGGAAUAAGGUGGAACAAGGAGCUAGGAGGUAAUGAGUGGCUGAUCAAAUGGAAGAACUUACCAGACAGUGAAGCAACGUGGGAAUCAGUUUACCUAUUGAAUCAGCAGUUCCCUCAGUUUCACCUUGAGACAAGGUGAACUUGGAGCCCCGGGGUAUUGUAAGACCUCCAAUUAUUCAUACAUAUCAAAGGAGGGGCAGAAAAGUAAUUGGACAAAUUAAUAAUGAGGAAGGAAAAAGAGGAGGAGAUCGUGCAGGUGGGGCCCAGGCACAGAAAUAAGAGAAAGAUGAGAGAAGGAAUAUAAAUAGGUUUUUUAGGUCUAGGGGAAGUAGGUUUUAUUUUUAUCCUGAAGUUGGCGGCUGCUUUAGCCUAGAGGAAUAUCCAGUCUUUCCCUAGAGGAAGCUGGGUUUGUCUUCAUUAUUCCUUGUUUUUCUUGAAUCUUUAUGUUUUUCUGUACUCAUUUUGGCUAUAUAUAAAUAAAGAUAGCAGAG
rnacentral:lncRNA from 1 species